GACGAACGCUGGCGGCGUGCCUAAUACAUGCAAGUAGAACGCACAGUUUAUACCGUAGCUUGCUACACCAUAGACUGUGAGUUGCGAACGGGUGAGUAACGCGUAGGUAACCUGCCUGGUAGCGGGGGAUAACUAUUGGAAACGAUAGCUAAUACCGCAUAAUAUUAAUUAUUGCAUGGUAAUUAAUUGAAAGGUGCAAUUGCACCACUACCAGAUGGACCUGCGUUGUAUUAGCUAGUAGGUGAGGUAACGGCUCACCUAGGCGACGAUACAUAGCCGACCUGAGAGGGUGAUCGGCCACACUGGGACUGAGACACGGCUCAGACGCCUACGGGAGGCAGCAGUAGGGAAUCUUCGGCAAUGGACGAAAGUCUGACCGAGCAACGCCGAGGGAGGGAAGAAGGUUUUCGGAUCGUAAAGCUCUGUUGUAAGAGAAGAACGGGUGUGAGAGUGGAAAGUUCACACUGUGACGGUAUCUUACCAGAAAGGGACGGCUAACUACGUG
rnacentral:rRNA from 1 species